CCCUUAGAUGUUCUGGGCCGCACGCGCGCUACACUGACGGAGCCAACGAGUAUUUUCCUUGUCCGGAAGGACUGGGUAAUCUUGUGAAACUUUGUCGUGCUGGGGAUAGAGCAUUGUAAUUAUUGCUCUUCAACGAGGAAUUCCUAGUAAGCGUGAGUCAUCAGCUCGCGUUGAUUACGUCCCUGCCCUUUGUACACACCGCCCGUCGCUACUACCGAUUGAAUGGUUUAGUGAGGCCUUCGGAUCCGCGACUCGUUUUGUGGAGAAGUUGGACAAACUCAGUCAUUUAGAGGAAGUAAAAGUCGUAACA
rnacentral:rRNA from 1 species